rnacentral:rRNA from 1 species
UGAUGCAGCCAUGCCGCGUGUAUGAUGAAGGCCUUCGGGUUGUAAAGUACUUUCAGCGGGGAGGAAGGGAGUAAAGUUAAUACCUUUGCUCAUUGACGUUACCCGCAGAAGAAGCACCGGCUAACUCCGUGCCAGCAGCCGCGGUAAUUA